rnacentral:rRNA from 1 species
UGGGGAAUAUUGGACAAUGGGCGAAAGCCUGAUCCAGCCAUGCCGCGUGUGUGAAGAAGGCCUUUUGGUUGUAAAGCACUUUAAGCGAGGAGGAGGCUACUUAGAUUAAUACUCUAGGAUAGUGGACGUUACUCGCAGAAUAAGCACCGGCUAACUCUGUGCCAGCAGCCGCGGUAAUACAGAGGGUGCGAGCGUUAAUCGGAUUUACUGGGCGUAAAGCGUGCGUAGGCGGCUUUUUAAGUCGGAUGUGAAAUCCCUGAGCUUAACUUAGGAAUUGCAUUCGAUACUGGGAAGCUAGAGUAUGGGAGAGGAUGGUAGAAUUCCAGGUGUAGCGGUGAAAUGCGUAGAGAUCUGGAGGAAUACCGAUGGCGAAGGCAGCCAUCUGGCCUAAUACUGACGCUGAGGUACGAAAGCAUGGGGAGCAGACAGG